rnacentral:rRNA from 1 species
GCGGAAGGAUCAUUAGAAGAAUCUGUACCAAGCUUCCUUGCAAGCCCGGGAAUACAAUUCUAACACACUCUGCGUAUCAUUCCUGUUGCUUCCGUGGGGUGGAAGCUGUCCUGGACAGCCUCAGCCAGCCGGCAGGUUGGUUCCUGCGGGAGGUAUUUUACAAAUCAUUUGCAUUCAUUUUGCCUUCUGUCUGAAUCUGUUAAAUAACAAUUGUUAAAACUUUCAACAACGGAUCUCUUGGUUCUCGCAUCGAUGAAGAACGCAGCGAAAUGCGAUAAGUAGUGUGAAUUGCAGAAUUCAGUGAAUCAUCGAAUCUUUGAACGCACAUUGCGCCUCCUGGUAUUCCGGGAGGCAUGCCUGUUCGAGCGUCAUGAAGACAACUUCAAGCUCUUUUGCUUGGUUCUGAAGGCUGAGUGUGAUCCAUGUACUCAUUCACCUUUGAAAUUUACAGGCGGACUCUUCCAUGUUCCAUUUGGCGUUAUAAGAUUACUCUUUCGCUUGGACUCGUGGGUUCUGUCCUGCCUCAAACCCCCCAUUCAUUUAAGGUUGACCUCGGAUCAGGUAGGGAUACCCGCUGAACUUAAGCAUAUCAAUAA